AUUGAACGCUGGCGGCAUGCUUUACACAUGCAAGUCGAACGGUAACAGGCCGCAAGGUGCUGACGAGUGGCGAACGGGUGAGUAAUGCAUCGGAACGUGCCCAGUCGUGGGGGAUAACGCCGCGAAAGCUGCGCUAAUACCGCAUGCGAUCUAUGGAUGAAACCGGGGGACCGUAAGGCCUCGCGCGAUCGGAUCGGCCGGUGGCAGAUUAGGUCGUUGGGGGGGUAAAGGCUCACCAAGCCAACGAUCUGUAGCUGGUCUGAGAGGACGACCAGCAACACUGGGACUGAGACACGGCCCAGACUCCUACGGGAGGCAGCAGUGGGGAAUUUUGGACAAUGGGCGCAAGCCUGAUCCAGCAAUGCCGCGUGCAGGAAGAAGGCCUUCGGGUUGUAAACUGCUUUUGUACGGAACGAAACGGCUCUGGUUAAUACCUGGGGCUAAUGACGGUACCGUAAGAAUAAGCACCGGCUAACUACGUGCCAGCCGCCGCAGUAAGAC
rnacentral:rRNA from 1 species